UGGAUCCAGACUUUGAUUAUGGCUCAGGACGAACGCUGGCGGCACGCCUAACACAUGCAAGUCGAACGGAGAUAAUUGAGUUUACUUGAUUAUCUUAGUGGCGGACGGGUGAGUAACACGUGAGCAACCUGCCUCUGAGAGAGGGAUAGCUUCUGGAAACGGAUGGUAAUACCUCAUAACAUAGCGGAACCGCAUGAUUCUGCUAUCAAAGAUUUAUUACUCAGAGAUGGGCUCGCGUCUGAUUAGCUAGUUGGUGAGGUAACGGCUCACCAAGGCGACGAUCAGUAGCCGGACUGAGAGGUUGAACGGCCACAUUGGGACUGAGACACGGCCCAGACUCCUACGGGAGGCAGCAGUGAGGGAUAUUGCACAAUGGAGGAAACUCUGAUGCAGCGAUGCCGCGUGGAGGAAGAAGGUUUUCGGAUUGUAAACUCCUGUUUCGAGGGACGAUAAUGACGGUACCUCGGGAGGAAGCUCCGGCUAACUACGUGCCAGCAGCCGCGGUAAUACGUAGGGAGCGAGCGUUGUCCGGAAUUACUGGGUGUAAAGGGAGCGCAGGCGGGAUUGCAAGUCAGGUGUGAAAUGCAGGGGCUCAACCCCUGAGCUGCACUUGAAACUGUAGUUCUUGAGUGAAGUAGAGGUAAGCGGAAUUCCUAGUGUAGCGGUGAAAUGCGUAGAUAUUAGGAGGAACAUCGGUGGCGAAGGCGGCUUACUGGGCUUUUACUGACGCUGAGGCUCGAAAGCGUGGGGAGCAAACAGGAUUAGAUACCCUGGUAGUCCACGCUGUAAACGAUGAUGACUAGGUGUGGGGGGACUGACCCCUUCCGUGCCGCAGUUAACACAAUAAGUCAUCCACCUGGGGAGUACGGCCGCAAGGUUGCAACUCAAACG
rnacentral:rRNA from 1 species